rnacentral:rRNA from 1 species
UACGGGGGGGGGCAAGCGUUGUUCGGAAUUACUGGGCGUAAAGGGCUCGUAGGCGGCCAACUAAGUCAGACGUGAAAUCCCUCGGCUUAACCGGGGGAACUGCAUCUGAUACUGGAUGGCUUGAGAUUGGGAGAGGGGCGUGGAAUUCCGGGUGUAGUGGUGAAAUGCGUAGAGAUCCGGAGGAACCCCAGAGGCGAAGGCGGCGCCCUGGCUCGCAACUGACGCUCAGACACGACAGCAUGGGGAGCGAACGGG